GGACUCAUAGCUCAGCUGGAUAGAGUACUCGGCUACGAACCGAUCCGUCGGAGGUUCGAAUCCUCCUGAGUCCGCCA
rnacentral:tRNA from 1 species